rnacentral:lncRNA from 12 species
CCCGCCAAGGACUAUUGGACAUUGGACCUCAGGAGGAGCCCAUAUUCUUAAUGAGAAUUCAAAAGGAAGUGGCUGGUAGGUCCUAGCAUACAGUUAUGGAGGAGGAAGAAGAGGAGUCAACCACAGUGGGUUAAGAAGACAUCUCAAAUUUGCCUGGUGUCAUCAAACUAUAGAACUGAAUUACACCCUGACCAGAAGAUAGCCCUGAAAAUCAGAGAACACAGUGCAUUGGCCAGAAUGGUGAAGGAACCUUGGAAAUGUGUGAAGGUACUAACCUCCAUGUUAGUACCCUGCAUGCAAAAGUUAGCUCAUUCAAGCUUAUAGGAGUUAGAAAUUUGGAGCAUGUAGAUUAGAUUCACCAAGAAACACAGUAACUGAAUUUAACUGAGUUUAGGAGAGCUUUCACAUUGAUGAGGAUGUUUUGUAAGCAGGUCUAUCCACUACAGCAGGAUCAAAGGCAAAAGAGAAGUAAAUCCAAAAGAGAUCUUUUGCAACUAAAGAGAUCUUGAAUCUGAAAAUACCAAAAUAGGGCUGAGACUUGGUCCCAUGUCAUCUAUGUCAUUGGUGAGUUCAAGGUCUCCAGAACCCUCACAGAGAAAACCAAAGUUAAUGACUAAUAGCAAUGUACAUUUAUCCAAGAAAGUGUAUGUGGACCAUUGGAUUUUGCCUCAAAUUAUAUAAUCUCUAAAAUAUAUUAAUCAAAGAUUAACAAUGAAGUUAGCUAAUAAAAAGAUUUGGUUUUUAAACA